rnacentral:rRNA from 1 species
CAGUAGCCGCGGUAAUACGGAGGAUCCAAGCGUUAUCCGGAAUCAUUGGGUUUAAAGGGUCCGUAGGCGGUCUUGUAAGUCAGUGGUGAAAGCCCAUCGCUCAACGGUGGAACGGCCAUUGAUACUGCAGGACUUGAAUUAUUGGGAAGUAACUAGAAUAUGUAGUGUAGCGGUGAAAUGCUUAGAGAUUACAUGGUAUACCAAUUGCGAAGGCAGGUUACUACCAAUUGAUUGACGCUGAUGGACGAAAGCGUGGGUAGCGAACAGGAUUAGAUACCCCAGUAGUCCCUGUCUCUUAUAC